GGCCCGCGCAGAGCCGCGCACCAAGCGGAUGGCGUGGACGCAGCCGGGUCGGGCGGUCUGCGUGCGAGCAGGCGCGCGUGGGCGUGUCUCCCUGGCCCACGCGUGUCCCGGACAUCAGUGUCUCGGCUCUGGUCCAGGACGAAGACUUCUGAAAGCGAGCCAAGGAGAAUCACAGUUCGGAACGGAGCCCCUGACUGCCUGGUGGAAGGAGGUGAUUCAGAAGAGAGCGAGAUUCAGUGGAUGUGCCCGGGCUUCCCGAGAUGUGUUUGCAUCUGGAUGCCGAGGAUGCUGUGCACACAAGCUCUCGGGUGAUGCGGCCAUGGAGCUUGGAGGUGGCUGUCUGUGGACUAGAGUGUUCCCCAGUCACUGCAAAGGUGAAGUGCAGUAUGUCACUAGUUCUGUUGAGGAUGCUUAAUUCUACAAUGCAUUGUUGAAUAUUUGCUGCUUUAGUCAAAGGAUAGAAAAAGUAAAAUAAAUUUUAUGUUAUUUUUUUUCUAAAAUAAAAUGUCUUUAUUUGAUUGAAUGACUAUUGAUGAUUAAAAAGAGUUCUAAAAAUU
rnacentral:lncRNA from 1 species